AGGCUGUGAAGUCUAUUCUAAGGUAGUCAUGCUGAGUACCAAAGCAAGAGAAUCAUUAUUCGGGAUUAUUCAAAAUACUGUUAGCACAGUACCUCAGCUGUUAUUGCUUAUCGGCUUCUGAGAGCGCUGGAUUUGGCAGGACCGUGCUACCUGCUCAGUUUAUAAUUGGGAGCUUAUAACUGAUUGUAUUCCUUGCGCCAGACUUCAGGUAACUGGAAGUACAAAUAUUUCCAUCCCAUUCAGAAUCAUCAACAGUUUAAACCAAAAAAGCGAAAGGAUUAGAAAUUAGGUAAAAUUAAUUAAAUCGUUUAUGGAAUAGAUUUAGCCAGCUAUUAGGAUUGGGAAUGCAUAAAGUUCUUAACCUUUUGCUAAAUGGAAUACUAAGAAGUGGAAUGUCUAUCUGAGAAUUCAACAGGUAUAAUAGUUUAAAAAGUACCUCAUAACAGGUUUGUUAGCUGCAUUGUCAGCCUUCUUCUGUUACAUUGUAUGACCAGCUGUCAGGCUUGCAUCUUUUCUGUCCUGUGGGUGGUCUACCUCAUAAUAAUAAUAAUAAUAGUAAUAAUAAUAAUUGUCAAGGCUGCCUCAGGUCUCAGCUCACAAAAGACCAACGCCAAUCUCUUCUUAUAUACAAAAGUGUUUAUUGCAGUUCAUUGCUUGCUUCAUAUCCGAGGCGCGCAGCCCCACGUCUGUACGCUUAGACCGUUGAAGUCCCCUCUGAGUCAGUCCCUCCCCUGCACCAGUUUAAGAGCCUUGCGCUGCUCCACCUCUUCCUCUCUUUCCUUUUCCGCAGGGUCUUCCUGCCCCCUGGGGUUUCGCCCCUCCUGGAUUCCCCUGACGCGGAAUCUCCAGACUGCUCUCCCCCCCUCCUGUGGGCUUUGGGACCUGGCCCCUCCUCCGGGCUCCCUGUACUUCCGCGCGCCUCUACAUUUGAACUUGGCGCGCGCCCAACCUCUAACCUUCCUUUUGACAGUUACACUACUCCCUUCACUACUCCCUCCCCUUCCGGGAGGGUGGCUUGCUCCGACCUCCCUCCCUUCUCUGCUGCCGGAGCUGCUUCCCCUGAUACACUGGAACCUCCACCCCCUUCGCUGCACUCUGGCGGGGAGGCUGGUCCUGACGCCCAGCUGCCACUUUGGGAUCCCCGCUGGCCCCUGUUCCUGACACGUCCCCCUGGGGCUCCCUGGCCUUGACCACUGGCGCCCCUUCUGGGAAUCCUCUGAUUCGCUGGAAAGACUCAUGGAAUCUCUUGAGUCAUUGUCAUCCUCUUCCUCGCUGUCCUGGGAUUCAUCCCCAUCGCUCUCCAUCUCCUGCCUACCCUGUGCCUCUGUCCCUGAACCCCUGACAAUAAUAAUAAUAGUAAUAAUAAUAAUAAUAAUAAUAAUGUGCCACCUUUAUGCCUGUAGACAUGUUUUUAUCUACUUGUUUCACUUUGUUUUAUAAACUAAAUUUUUAGAAACAUAAUUGGAGUGAACAUCUGCAUUCAUCCGGUAGUAGCUUUGUAUUUUUCGUGUGUGGACAAAUGGAGUUAAUGGUGGGUGCUUCUUAAAUCAGAUCUAUAUUGGGUACUUGUGACUGAAGAUUUUCAGUGUUUGCACUGUUUCAGACAUCACAUUUCUAAUAUAUAUAAGUUAUAAGUUCUGUUUCUCCAGAAAAAGAGGUGCUGCUACUCAGCAUGAACGCAUCCCUUUUUCUCUUAGAAUGGCAAUGACACCCACCUGAGAGAUGCCGGUACUAAGUUCUGGUGAGCUCUGGCUGAAAAAAAAGCCCUGCAUAUAAUAUAUACACUAUCCAUUUCAUUGUAUAUUGUCCCCCCUUCUUUCAUUCCCCCCCAUACGCUACACUGUGCAUAAAUGGUAAAUGCAGUGUAUUUUUUUCUGGGCGUACUCAAGGAUACACAGUAUUGGCACCUUUUUUCCCUAGAAGAAAAGCACUGGAUAAAUGUAUUAUUCUUGCACCUCUUGUGCAAAAAAGCCUUAUCAAGGGAGCCAAGCAGAAUUCUCCUGUCUCCAUCUAGUAAUCUUCUAACACAAGAUUACUUCAUCAGCAGUUCACUACAAGCAGACUCCUUUCUGUGUCUCUCAUAGAACAUCCCCUCUUCCCUUAUCGUUCCCUCCCUUUUGCAUGUAUUCUAAUAUGAUUUUCAUUUCAUGCCUCUGCUGUACACACAGGGCUAUUUAUUCCAUGCCAGUUUAGUCUGGCAAAUCAAUCUCUGCCCAUUCAAAUAAAAGAGAGCAGUCUAUUUAUCCCACCCACCCCACCCUCCGUCCCUCAGAUUAAGUUAUGCUAUGAUAUACUGAAAUGUUGUUGUUGUUUAGUCGUUUAGUCAUGUCCGACUCUUUGUGGCCCCAUGGACCAGAGCACGCCAGGCACUCCUGUCUUCCACUGCCUCCCACAGUUUGGUCAAACUCAUGCUGGUAGCUUCGAGAACACUGUCCAACCAUCUUGUCCUCUGUCGUCCCCUUCUCCUUGUGCCCUCCAUCUUUCCCAACAUCAGGGUCUUUUCCAGGGAGUCUACUCUUCUCAUGAGGUGGCCAAAGUAUUGGAGUCUCAGCUUCACGAUCUGUCCUUCCAGUGAGCACUCAGGGCUGAUUUCCUUAAGAAUGGGCAUGUUUGAUCUUCUUGCAGUCCAUGGGACUCUCAAGGGUCUCCUCCAGCACCAUAAUUCAAAAGCAUCAAUUCUUCGGCGAUCAGCCUUCUUUAUGGUCCAGCUCUCAUUUCCAUACAUCACUACUGGGAAAACCAUAGCUUUAACUAUACGGACAUUUGUCGGCAAGGUGAUGUCUCUGCUUUUUAAGAUGCUGUCUAGGUUUGUCAUUGCUUUUCUCCCAAGAAGCAGGUGUCUUUUAAUUUUGUGGCUGCUGUCACCAUCUGCAGUGAUCAUGGAGCCCAAGAAAGUGAAAUCUCUCACUGCCUCCAUUUCUUCCCCUUCUAUUUUCCAGGAUGUGAUGGGCCCAGGGGCCAUGAUCUUCGUUUUUUUGAUGUUGCGCUUCAAACCAUAUUUGCGCUCUCCUCUUUCACCCUCAUUAAAAGGUUCUUUAAUUCCUCCUCACUUUCUGCCAUCAAGGUUGUAUCAUCUGCAUAUCUGAGGUUGUUGAUAUUUCUUCUGGCAAUCUUAAUUCUGGCUAGGGAUUCAUCCAGCCCAACCGAUAUACUGAAAACCCAUAAGCAAAACCACAUCCCAUUAGAUUAAACAGCAGUGUAUUCCAAUCUUCCUAAACCUAAUGCUCUCCAAAUGUUUUGGACUUCAACUCCCAUAAUCCCUGUACAUCGGCCAUACUGGCUGGGCUGAUGGGAAUUGGAGUCCAAAACAUAUCUACUAUGUUGGGGAGUGCUAAUGUAGUUAACUGAAGGCAAUGUAGGUAUGAAGAAGGAAUACAGCCCUGAGAAGUAGUGGCAGCCAGGGAAGCAAAAGGGCUUUAAAAAGUAUCAAAGCAUUUAUUUAUUUUUGCCAGUGUCCCCCACUUGCUUCAUUUGGCAGCAUCAGACAUUUUGAAAACAACAUUGAAAUCAGAGAAUAAUCUAUGCACCCCUAAUUUUUAUUUACAAAACUUCUUUUCAGCCAAAAGGCAUUUUUUCCUGUAUGUUUCACCAAUCAGAAGCCUAGGAGAAAUGGAUAAUCAAAACGUUGCCCUAUCCCUCCUGUUGGCUAGACCAUUCUACUGCUGUGCACCGUGUUAGAGGUCAAGUGAGGUAUAUUAACCUAAUCCCCAGGUACAAGCGGCAGAAAGGGUACAUUUUUCUAUCACCACAUGAUUGGGGAAAAGCUAGCAACUGUGGAAAUUAUUCUAUACGAUGUAGAAAUUCAUAACUGCAAGGUACCAAGAGGCUGAGGUUAUCUCUUUACAAAGCCUUGGGGAUCUUUAUGUCCAGCCAAACCACUCAUUCUGUGAUAAAUUGAAGAGAGGAGUUAUAAAUGUGACCUCUGCUAAAAAUGAAAUGAAAAGUGAUCGGAAAAGUAACAGUCACAAGUUGGGGCUGUCAUCUGUUUUCUCAAAAGUUCGCUUCCUCUGUGAAAGAGGCUUCAGAUUUGCUGCCUCUAUCUCUGGACACGAGAAUUUCUUUCACAUUUUGGUGACAUAGAAAAGGUAGAUUUUGGCACAGCGUUGCCACAUGUGGUUUUCUUUCUGCCAGUGGGGAUCAUGGACAUUGAAUUAGAUACUCCGUGACCCUUGGUAUAAUAUGGCACACUCUGCCAUGAAAAAGAUGCUAUGCUACCAGCAUCUUCACUUUCCAAACAGUUGAGAAAGAAGGCCUCUUUCAUCUUAGAACUGCAGCCAACUGCUUCCUGGUCCUGGUCCCCAGGAUGAGUUUUUCCCUCCUUUAAGCUGGAGGUAGGUUAUCUCAGCACCUGCCAACCUGCUGUCUUUCAGAUGUUUGGGACUACAGCUCCCAUUAGCCCCAGGCAGCAUGGACAAUUGUAGUCCAAAAUAUCUGAAGGGCAGCACUAGAUUGGUGAUGACUGGUUAAGGGAAUCUGAGAACUUCAAGCAUUCUUCUGACUGUUCAACCUUGCCUCCUGAUGAGUCUUUUUUAUGAAAUUUACAAAUACAAAGUAUAAAUAAACACAAGCUAGUAAAAAACCUAUCUGUAUAAGGAGAUUAUCCGAGUCUCAUCUUAAACAUUUACAACUGCAUCUUCAUCCGUACUCCAAUUUUUAUAUCAAACCAUAUUGUCCAUAAUAAUUUUUACACUACAAGUGAGUCAAAAUCCUGCUAUUGUUUCCAUCUGCUUACAGUGGUCUCCUAAAUAACUUAUAGAUUUUUCCCAUUCUUUUAUAAGGUUUUUAUACUCCUGGUUUCUAAGUUUUCCAGUCAGCUUUGCCAUCUCAGCAUAAUCCAUCAGCUUGGUUUGCCAUUCUUCUCUGGUAGGGACUUUGUCUUCUUUCCAAUUCUGGGCUAAUAACAUCCAGGUGGCCAUUUCUCCAUACAUAAAGAGUCUUUUUCUGCUCCUUUGGUACGUCGGUACCUGUAAUUCCUAAUAAAACGGCUUCUGGUUUCUUAACAAAAGUUAUUUUAAGCAUUUUUUUCAUUUCAUUAUAAUAUAUCAUCCCCCAGAAAGCUUUUAUUACCUUACAAGUCCACCACAUAUGAUGAAAAGUACCUUUUUGAUGAGUUUUGAGCACUCAGAUAGACCACUCUAAAGAACCCAACUCAUGUUGAGGUGAUUUUAUUUGUCCUUCCUUCUGCAUUUGAUGUACCAAUAUAAUUGUUAUUUUAAGUACCAGAAGUGCUGGGUGUGUUUUACUGUGAUUUGUUAUGUGCCUCAAGCAACUAAGAAGAGGAAUGUUAAAAACAUUGCUAUCGUUUUAUUAGGAGCAGUACAAUUUAAGGGGCAGGAGCUCAGAUCUGAGGCUUGGACAUUAUUGGGGUUGAUUUUUAACACCAAAACAAUUAAAUACUUCAAAUAAAUUUAUCUAGGAAGCCAGAGUCCAUCAUUUCUUAGUGCUGCUUAUUUAAUUUUCUGGUUGGGAUCGGAUCUUUAAAGAGACUUUCUAUUAACAACAUUAAGUCCUUGAAAUGAGGGCACAUGCUGAGUUAUGUGACUGUUAAUGUCUGCAAGUGCCUUGAAGAGAGCAGGACUAGCAUAUUCUUAUUAGUUGCUAAGUGUUCUAUAGACUUCAAAUGACUUAUCAUUGCAUAGCCAUAAUUGUUUUAAAAGCAUCUCAUAUAGAUUAGCUACCACUUAAAGGCAUCACCUGGAAUUGACUGUAGCAAGAGAAUUGAGCAAUCUGAAUUCAUUCAUCAGGAAGGUAAGUACAGCAAUGGUUGUUAUUGCAGGAAGGACAGGAUUACACACACACACACACACACACACACACACACAGUCAUACCUUGGAUCCCGAACGCCCUGGAACUCAGACAUUUUGGCUCCCGAAUGCCGCAAACCCGGAAGUGAUUGUUCCAGUUUUUUAACGUUCUUUUGGAAGCCAAAUGUCCGCCAGGGCUUCAGUGGCUUCUGAUUGGCUGCAGAAGCAUCCUGCAGCCAAACAGAAGCUGCAAUUUGGUUUUCAAAUGUUUUGGAAGUCGAAUGGACUUCCAGAACGGAUUCUGUUCAACUUCCAAGGUCGUAUUGCACUCUACACCUCAUGAAACCAAAAUGGCAUGAACCACACAGGAGGUACAGUGGACGUUCGGGUUGCGAACAUGAUCCAUGCAGGAGGCACAUUCGCAACCCGCAGCAUUCGCAACCCACAGCGCCAUGUCUGCACUUGCACGGGUUGCGGUUCAGAGCUUCUGCGCAUGUGCAAAGCACAAUUUAGUGGUUCUGCGCAUGCACGAGCACCAAAACCUGGAAGUAACCCAUUCUGGUACUUCCAGGUUCAGCCCGGUGCGCAACCCGAAAAUGCACAACCUAAAGCGUCUGUAACCCGAGGUAUGACUGUAUUAGUCAGUAUAUUGGUGUACAGUAUAGAAAACCCUGCUUGUGUGUGGGGCGGGAGUACUGAAAGAGAAUAAACAGGUUUGGAUUCUAAUUCUGAGCAGGAGGGAGAGUAGGGUGGAAAAGUGAGUGGACAGUGGAAAGAAAUGGAGCUUCAUGGAGGAGGGCGAGGCUCCCGCUUUCGUAUUUCCUGUUAAGGUCAGAACCCCUGGGCUGCUGUGUGUUACCCUAGAACUGAAAGAUAUAUCUCAGCACAAGGAGCUCUCCUGACUUAUAGUCCUGGUGGCUCACCACAUGAGGUGACAACAUGAAGAUCUCAGAUUUAUUGAUUCUAACCCACAAGGCCUAGACACUUUCCUGUCCUGUAUGCCUGUGUAGAAGCAAAUUAUUUUGUUGUGCUGCCAAAGUAAAAUAGGCAGCAAAGCCAUGGAAUGUGGAAGCAUGGAUUGGUGAGUCCCCUGGCAACCUCAGUAGGUGGCAUCUGGUCUCCCCUCCCCCCAUCCUACGUUCUUCAGCUGGUGGUGGAAGGAAGCAGAAUGGCAGUGCCAUGGGUGGGGGGAACAUUUACAGGGCUUCCAUGCCCCACUCAUGCCUGCUAAAUCCGCUGAGUUUCCCAUGGGACCAGUAAGCGUUUAAGCCCUAUCAGAAUCACCUGCCUGUUGGUCUGCUGCCCCUGCUGCCCUAGGUGUGCAAUGUCAUCCACUGCAGAGGACUAGCCAAGUUGUCCUUCCAAACCAGUAUCAUUCUUAAGCUUUGCUGCUACCUCCUUUAGGUGGGGUGCAAUGCCAACCGAAACCAGUUUAAAGAGCCAAAGAUCUGCUGAUCUGCAGUGCUACUACUCUCUGCCCUGUUUGCUUUCAUAAAUCUGAAUUUCUGGCAGCUUCAUUUCAUGGUGUUGCAACACUGGACUCCCAGGAGGCCGUAGAAGGUAAGGCUGAGCAAUUUCAUCAUGUUUUAAGGUCAAAACACCUACCCGUUCCCGAAGGCAAUGGAAUAACAAAUAUAACCACCGGUUCCAAUGUUCUGUACAAAUCGAAUCAACAGAGAAGGAAUGGUUUAAACAAAUAGGGAAUAUUUAUCACACGAGCUACACUUGUUUUUAUUUAAAAGAAGAAGGGGGAAGUGGUACCGUGCUCCAUUUUCUGUUUUAUGUUGCUACACAGACAUUCUUCACUGCUAAUGAGGGAACGGUUUUCAUUCGGGCUCACUUUUUCAUUUUGGAGCUGAACAUGGCUUCUCUACGCUUGCAGGAAAGGCAGUUGCUAAAUCCUAGUAGAUUGGAUGUAUCUGUGAAUUUAGGAGUGCAGUAAUGGCAGAGAGACGGGGCUGGUAGUGUUAUUCCAACACAAGUCAGUUAAAAUAUAUAAACAUGGAGUGGAAAACAAAGGCAGAGUGGCAAAUUCAUCAGGAAGGGUGUAAAUUUAAUUUUCGUUUUGGGCCUUUUUAUGUGUUCAUUAUUCUGGCUCAGAUAACAAGCUAGCAAGCUAACAGCCCAGUUCUAUGCCUUUUAAAAAAUAUUUAUUCCUCUCCACUGCUUGGACCUUGGAGUUGUCCCAUUUUGUCCUCAUGAAAGCAAUAAAACAGGUGAACUUCAAACCGGUGAUGGAUGCAGAAUUUAGUAGCAGAGGAAGGAACAGUGUGUUACACAAGGCCAGGCUAUUUGUCCAUCUAGUCUACUCUGACUGCCAGUAGCUCUCUGCAGUCUGAGGUAAAGGUCUCCCAUAUCACCUGCUAUCUGGAUCCUUUUAAGUGGAGAUGUCAUAGAGUGAGCCUGGGGGUUUUUGCAGAAGCACAGCAGCCCAAGGUGUUUUGACAAAAAAAAGGUCUUUCUCAAUGACAAUGGUCUAUUUCAAAGAACGGAGUCCUCUGAGAUGUAUCAGAAUGUGUCUCCAUUUUCCGUCAUUUACAAUGUUUUCAGCAGUUGAGAUACCUGGCACCAGUUUUUCAAUUCCUUGGACAUUUUUGGUGCUGUCUUCCUUCACUUUCUUUUUGUAUUUUGUCUUCCAGGUACUGCAUGUAACCAUGAACCUGUUUUUUGAAUGAGAGGAAGGUACGUCAGAAAAGACAGCUCCAAGCUAUCCCAAGGUUGAGGGGGAAACUACAUGUUACUCUGUAUUCACAGCAGUAUUUAUUGUUUCUUCAAUUAAUUUUUGCACGUGCUCUGGUCCAUGGGGUCACGAAGAGUCGGACACGACUAAACGACUAAAUGACUAAACAACAACAACAAAAUCAUAACUAUUGAGCCACAGUAACCCAGAGCAGAUCUUGGGUGUGACUGGCUGUUUUUCUGUGGCACAGCAUCCCUGUUUAUAUACAACAGGUGCCCACAAUCUGCAUUUUCCAGAAACAUUUUAAUUUAAAAAAAUUCUCAACAAGCUUUUCCAGCUGGAUGAAAAGUUUUCUGCUUUAGGUAAUCAUCUUGUAUGGUUUUGUACAUACCAUUGUUUGUUGUUUGUAUGGCUGUUCAGAAUUCAGAACCAAACCAACCAGGCAAUCUGCAAUUUCUUCCUUUGUCCAAACUGGGAAACUGUGGUUUCCAGCUUCAGACCAAAUCAGAAUAUUAAUUCAGAGAUGGAGUUUGGAUUAUGUUGGAUUGUUCAGAAACUGGUAACCUAGUUUGAAUGAAAUGGAAAACUACAGUUAAUUAGAUACUGCUUUUAAAUAAGCUUACAUCACAAAAGGAGGGAUGAAGGGGCUGCAUAUACAGGCCAAAGACAUUCAUAUCUUGGCUUAUUAAGCCAUUUUUAUUAUGGGUGCAAGAUAGUGUGUUUGUCUAACUCUCAAGGAACUAAAAUGGCUAUAUCAAAACCCUUCCUCACUCCCUUGCAGUUCUUCAGACAUUUCUCUUAAACAGGACCAUUCAAAUUUACCUCAACACUGUGCUUUGGAGGAAAUUUAGUGGCACAUUUAGUAAACCAGGACAACUGGCAAUGCUUUCCGUUAUAAGGGAACUCCAGCCAGAUACUAUGAGUAACACAUUAUCUCGCUAUCGGCUGGUAGGAGGAACUCCCCCCUCCCUGAAUUAUACCUUUUAAUAUUUUCUACACAUUCAAAAGAAUUGCUAGUGGUCCUAGAGUAAAAGCAAGGCCUUUGUAGGAAAACAUAAAAAGAUGGAAAAAGCCACCCAGAAGAUGUCACAGCUCAUUAAAGAUGCAAAUUAAAAAAUGUCCAAAGCAUGGAGAUUUGCUUAACCUUUUACCAAUGUCUAAAUCCUUAAUAUGAUACUUAUAUGUCAGCUGGUUUGCCACAGAUCUAAUAAAGAAGCUUCUUCAAGCAUUGCUACAAGGAGAGCUGCUUGGAUCCAGGGCAACAUUUUAAGUGCUUUUAUCUGAGAGAGAGAGAGAGAGAGAGAGAGAGAGAGAGAGAGAGAGAGUUAAGCUAGCUUAUUUGCCCUAGGAACUCUCCAGGCCAAGAAUGUCAGGGUCACAUUGUGCUGACCCAGCAGUGAGAGAAAUGUACCUAUAUUCAUUCAUAUAGUUCCCAAACUCAGUCUUGGUAUUGACUUUGUGGCUGAGCUAUGCACCGUCUGAAACCAAAUGGAAUUUGUGUUUUCCCUAAGGUGGGCUAUUGUGUCCUUGUACAUCCGGUGUGAGUUCGGUGUCCGGUGUGAGUUCGAGAAAGGUUUUUAUUUUGCUUUAAAGUAACUCAGCAUACAGUUCAGGAUCACCUUCUCACGUGCCAAACAGUGGGCUGUAAAUCUCUGACAAUGUAAAUUAGUCACUAACUAAAAUAAGAAGACAUGAUUAAUCACUUCAGAGACUACCUGGCAGAAUUACAAGUCAGUGACUAUAAUAUUACUUACUGACAUAUACCCUACAAUAAUUCUGGCACACACUUCAUCACCUGGUAUUGCCUAAAACGUAAUCCUUAUGAACUGAAAAGUGGCAAAAAUGGUCCCUGAGGUGUCCUGUGAUUACUCCAAAACAGAUAGGGGAUGAAAGAAUGCUGCCAAUAUGCAUUUCAAGUCAUCAAAUGUUAAUUUUAUUCAUGAUUUAUAAUAUUUCUGAGUAAUGUGCCCCACAUGUAUUCCUUUUUAUUUAUAAGACUGAUUUUUAUCUGAACAAAUAAAACCUAUCUCAAAGCCAUAA